UUUGUGUAUGAGGGGGGGGGAGAGAGGGAGGAGGGGGAUUUAUGCUCAAUUUCAUUAGGUUUUUGGCCGGGGGAGGAGUUGUUAUCUGGAGCCAUAAACCCAUUCCCAUUUGAUUACCGGCUAUUGAUUGAGGCAUUAAAUUGGUCUCCGUUGAGUACGGCGGCAUGUGAAGACGUGUUGGACGCGCUAUCAGACCUGACAGGAAGUAGGACUGGAUUAAAGACGAGAUGGCCACCUUCAGCCACAGUGACCGAGCAGACUAGCUGGUCAUGAAGGAGGUUAAAUAACGCUCCAAACUUACACUAAAUGUUGUCGAGGGAAAACU